UCAGCCUCAGGAAUUUCAAAGGAACAUCCACCCAGUGGCUCUUGGGUUUGGCUGAACUAACGCUGAAGGACAAGCCAGUGGAUCAUGGUGCUUGCAGUAAAGCUGCAUGCAAAAUAUUGCUAGUUGUUCACUUGCGAUUAAUUUGGAGCGCCUGUAUGAGCAUUCCAUAGUACAGUAUGGAAACACUGCACAAAAAGGAUCACCAGAGAGGCUGAAUUGUAACUGCGAUGAGAGGAACAGCAGAUUAGACUUAAGGAAGGAAUGGAAGGGGGAAGGAUGUAAGUUCUUGCCACCCUGUUGAAAUGGAAUAGCAGAAAAACUGGUGAGUGUGUACAGUAAGAGAGGGAAGCUCAUCAAAAUGUAUCAAUGAAUCCAAGCUUUCCUUAUUCAAAAGUCAAAUAAUUUAAUAAGGAGGUAUUUGCAGAAGUUGUUUACACAUGGGUUGAUCUACAUUAGACAGAAAAUAAUUUUGGCCUAAUUCUGAAACAUGUUCCUAUUGAAUAAGUUUUUUAUCCACUGGAAUAACUCAGCUGGUUGAUAUGAGACUCUUCAGAUAUAAGCAGUGCUUAUGAGAUUGUUACACUUAAUUAGUUUAUAAAUCUGUCUCCAGUAGCUGCAUAUGAAAAUUUAAUAUGCCAGCUUCAGAACAACAUGGUGUUUUUUACUUGGCUUUGAGACAGAAGGGAUUAUUCUACUAGAAUAAACCAAAGAUGGAAGUAAUAAAGAUUAAAAACCUUUAAAAAUAA